GACAGAGGUGCCGAGCGUUAGGCGGAAUCACUGGGCUUAAAGCGUGUGUAGUCGGGAUUGUAAGUACCUUGUGAAAUCCCACGGCUUAACCGUGGAACUGCUUGGUAUACUGCGAUUCUUGAGCCACUUAGGGGCUACCGGAACAAAUGGUGGAGCGGUGAAAUGCGUAGAUAUCUGGAGGAACACCGGUGGCGAAGGCGGCAUCCUGGACCGGUAUUGACGCUGAGGCGCGAAAGCUAGGGGAGCAAACGGG
rnacentral:rRNA from 1 species